rnacentral:rRNA from 1 species
AGGAAAUAGAUACCCGGGUAGUCCACGCCGUAAACGAUGAAUGCCAGUCGUCGGGCAGCAUGCUGUUCGGUGACACACCUAACGGAUUAAGCAUUCCGCCUGGGGAGUACGGCCGCAAGGUUAAAACUCAAAGGAAUUGACGGGGGCCCGGCACAAGCGGUGGAGCAUGUGGUUUAAAUUCGAAGCAACGCGCAGAACCUUACCAACCCUUGACAUGGGCGUCGCGGGACCAGAGAUAGUCCUUUCAGUUCGGCUGGACGCCACACAGGUGCUGCAUGGCUGUCGUCAGCUCGUGUCGUGAGAUGUUCGGUUAAGUCCGGCAACGAGCGCAACCCACACUUCCAGUUGCCAUCAUUCAGUUGGGCACUCUGGAAGAACUGCCGGUGAUAAGCCGGAGGAAGGUGUGGAUGACGUCAAGUCCUCAUGGCCCUUACGGGUUUGGGCUACACACGUGCUACAAUGGUGGUGACAAUGGGUUAAUCCCAAAAAGCCAUCUCAGUUCGGAUU